GGCACUUUGGCCGAGUGGUCUAAGGCGCCGUGUUCAGGUUCUCGCUUCGGUUCUCCGAGCUCCCUAUUCGCGGUCUAGUAAUAGGCGAGGGUUCGAAUCCCUCAGGUGUCA
rfam:Purpureocillium lilacinum isolate PLFJ-1 scaffold00011, whole genome shotgun sequence.